rnacentral:precursor_RNA from 14 species
GGUCCUCUGGAGAAUAUCGGGCGUGUGGGAAAGGUCCAGCCUCAUAUGUCCUGUGAUCCUGAGGGGGAGAUAUGUGGUCAGACCUGUCCCACAGGCCGUGUAUUCUACCCUGACCUCA